rnacentral:tRNA from 1 species
GGUCUUAUAUUCAAACUAUGAUUUUAGACUGCAAUUCUAAAGGUGUAAAUAUAAAUUUACUAAGACUU